GCCUGUGGCGCAAUGGGUCAGUGCGUCUGGCUGUUAACCAGGUUAUUGGUUCGAGCCCACCCAGGGAUGGCA